rnacentral:rRNA from 1 species
UUCCAGGCAAAUCCGGAAAAUCAAGGCUGAGGCGUGAUGACGAGGCACUGCGGUGCUGAAGCAACAAAUGCCCUGCUUCCAGGAAAAGCCUCUAAGCAUCAGGUAACAUCAAAUCGUACCCCAAACCGACACAGGUGGUCAGGUAGAGAAUACCAAGGCGCUUGAGAGAACUCGGGUGAAGGAACUAGGCAAAAUGGUGCCGUAACUUCGGGAGAAGGCACGCUGAUAUGUAGGUGAAGUCCCUCGCGGAUGGAGCUGAAAUCAGUCGAAGAUACCAGCUGGCUGCAACUGUUUAUUAAAAACACAGCACUGUGCAAACACGAAAGUGGACGUAUACGGUGUGACGCCUGCCCGGUGCCGGAAGGUUAAUUGAUGGGGUUAGCGCAAGCGAAGCUCUUGAUCGAAGCCCCGGUAAACGGCGGCCGUAACUAUAACGGUCCUAAGGUAGCGAAAUUCCUUGUCGGGUAAGUUCCGACCUGCACGAAUGGCGUAAUGAUGGCCAGGCUGUCUCCACCCGAGACUCAGUGAAAUUGAACUCGCUGUGAAGAUGCAGUGUACCCGCGGCAAGACGGAAAGACCCCGUGAACCUUUACUAUAGCUUGACACUGAACAUUGAGCCUUGAUGUGUAGGAUAGGUGGGAGGCUUUGAAGUGUGGACGCCAGUCUGCAUGGAGCCGACCUUGAAAUACCACCCUUUAAUGUUUGAUGUUCUAACGUUGACCCGUAAUCCGGGUUGCGGACAGUGUCUGGUGGGUAGUUUGACUGGGGCGGUCUCCUCCUAAAGAGUAACGGAGGAGCACGAAGGUUGGCUAAUCCUGGUCGGACAUCAGGAGGUUAGUGCAAUGGCAUAAGCCAGCUUGACUGCGAGCGUGACGGCGCGAGCAGGUGCGAAAGCAGGUCAUAGUGAUCCGGUGGUUCUGAAUGGAAGGGCCAUCGCUCAACGGAUAAAAGGUACUCCGGGGAUAACAGGCUGAUACCGCCCAAGAGUUCAUAUCGACGGCGGUGUUUGGCACCUCGAUGUCGGCUCAUCACAUCCUGGGGCUGAAGUAGGUCCCAAGGGUAUGGCUGUUCGCCAUUUAAAGUGGUACGCGAGCUGGGUUUAGAACGUCGUGAGACAGUUCGGUCCCUAUCUGCCGUGGGCGCUGGAGAACUGAGGGGGGCUGCUCCUAGUACGAGAGGACCGGAGUGGACGCAUCACUGGUGUUCGGGUUGUCAUGCCAAUGGCACUGCCCGGUAGCUAAAUGCGGAAGAGAUAAGUGCUGAAAGCAUCUAAGCACGAAACUUGCCCCGAGAUGAGUUCUCCCUGACUCCUUGAGAGUCCUGAAGGAACGUUGAAGACGACGACGUUGAUAGGCCGGGUGUGUAAGCGCAGCGAUGCGUUGAGCUAACCGGUACUAAUGAACCGUGAGG